rnacentral:rRNA from 1 species
UACGGAGGGUGCAAGCGUUGUUCGGAGUUACUGGGCGUAAAGCGUGCGUAGGCGGUAGUCCAAGUCUGGUGUGAAAUCUCCCGGCUUAACUGGGAGGGUGCGCCGGAAACUGGGCUGCUGGAGUGCGGGAGAGGUAAGCGGAAUUCUCGGUGUAGAGGUGAAAUUCGUAGAUAUCGAGAGGAACACCGGUGGCGAAGGCGGCCUGCUGGACGAUGACUGACGCUGAGACGCGAAAGCGUGGGGAGCAAACAGG